CCUACGGGAGACAGCAGUGAGGAAUAUUGGUCAAUGGACGAGAGUCUGAACCAGCCAAGUAGCGUGAAGGAUGACUUCCCUAUGGGUUGUAAACUUCUUUUAUAUGGGAAUAAAAUAUUCCACGUGUGGGAUUUUGUAUGUACCAUAUGAAUAAGGAUCGGCUAACUCCGUGCCAGCAGCCGCGGUAAUACGGAGGAUCCGAGCGUUAUCCGGAUUUAUUGGGUUUAAAGGGAGCGUAGGUGGAUUGUUAAGUCAGUUGUGAAAGUUUGCGGCUCAACCGUAAAAUUGCAGUUGAAACUGGCAGUCUUGAGUACAGUAGAGGUGGGCGGAAUUCGUGGUGUAGCGGUGAAAUGCUUAGAUAUCACGAAGAACUCCGAUUGCGAAGGCAGUUCACUGGACUGCAACUGACACUGAGGCUCGAAAGUGUGGGUAUCAAACAGGAUUAGAUACCCUUGUAGUC
rnacentral:rRNA from 1 species